rnacentral:rRNA from 1 species
GGUUGCGAUCAUACCAGCACUAAUGCACCGGAUCCCAUCAGAACUCCGCAGUUAAGCGUGCUUGGGCGAGACUAGUACUAGGAUGGGUGACCCCCUGGGAAGUCCUCGUGUUGCAACCCC